AAAAAUUUAGUUAAAGUAUAACAUUAGUUUGUCAAACUAAAAUUAUUUUUUUAAGAAAUAAUUUUUA
rnacentral:tRNA from 1 species